rnacentral:rRNA from 1 species
GGUUAAGCGACUAAGCGUACACGGUGGAUGCCCUGGCAGUCAGAGGCGAUGAAGGACGUGCUAAUCUGCGAAAAGCGCCGGCGAGGUGAUAUGAACCUUUGACCCGGCGAUGUCCGAAUGGGGAAACCCAGUGCAAUCCGUUGCACUAUCGUUAACUGAAUACAUAGGUUAACGAGGCGAACCGGGGGAACUGAAACAUCUAAGUACCCCGAGGAAAAGAAAUCAACCGAGAUUCCCCCAGUAGCGGCGAGCGAACGGGGAGCAGCCCGGAGUCUGAAUCAGCUUGUGUGUUAGUGGAACGGUCUGGAAAGUCCGACGGUACAGGGUGAUAGUCCCGUACACGAAAGCACACUUGCUGUGAACUCGAAGAGUAGGGCGGGACACGUGGUAUCCUGUCUGAAUAUGGGGGGACCAUCCUCCAAGGCUAAAUACUCCUGACUGACCGAUAGUGAACCAGUACCGUGAGGGAAAGGCGAAAAGAACCCCGGCGAGGGGAGUGAAAAAGAACCUGAAACCGUGUACGUACAAGCAGUGGGAGCCUCUUUAUGGGGUGACUGCGUACCUUUUGUAUAAUGGGUCAGCGACUUAUAUUCUGUAGCAAGGUUAACCGUAUAGGGGAGCCGAAGGGAAACCGAGUCUUAACUGGGCGUUAAGUUGCAGGGUAUAGACCCGAAACCCGGUGAUCUAGCCAUGGGCAGGUUGAAGGUUGGGUAACACUAACUGGAGGACCGAACCGACUAAUGUUGAAAAAUUAGCGGAUGACCUGUGGCUGGGGGUGAAAGGCCAAUCAAACCGGGAGAUAGCUGGUUCUCCCCGAAAGCUAUUUAGGUAGCGCCUCGUGAACUCAUCUUCGGGGGUAGAGCACUGUUUCGGCUAGGGGGCCAUCCCGGCUUACCAACCCGAUGCAAACUACGAAUACCGAAGAAUGUUAUCACGGGAGACACACGGCGGGUGCUAACGUCCGUCGUGAAGAGGGAAACAACCCAGACCGCCAGCUAAGGUCCCAAAGUCAUGGUUAAGUGGGAAACGAUGUGGGAAGGCACAGACAGCCAGGAUGUUGGCUUAGAAGCAGCCAUCAUUUAAAGAAAGCGUAAUAGCUCACUGGUCGAGUCGGCCUGCGCGGAAGAUGUAACGGGGCUAAACCAUGCACCGAAGCUGCGGCAGCGACACUAGGUUGUUGGGUAGGGGAGCGUUCUGUAAGCCGUUGAAGGUGUCUGUGAGGGGCUGGAGGUAUCAGAAGUGCGAAUGCUGACAUAAGUAACGAUAAAGCGGGUGAAAAGCCCGCUCGCCGGAAGACCAAGGGUUCCUGUCCAACGUUAAUCGGGGCAGGGUGAGUCGACCCCUAAGGCGAGGCCGAAAGGCGUAGUCGAUGGGAAACAGGUUAAUAUUCCUGUACUUGGUGUUACUGCGAAGGGGGGACGGAGAAGGCUAUGUCAGCCGGGCGACGGUUGUCCCGGUUUAAGCAUGUAGGCGGAGGUUCCAGGUAAAUCCGGUACCUUGUUAACGCUGAGGUGUGAUGACGAGGCACUACGGUGCUGAAGUGAUAAAUGCCCUGCUUCCAGGAAAAGCCUCUAAGCAUCAGGUAACACGAAAUCGUACCCCAAACCGACACAGGUGGUCAGGUAGAGAAUACCAAGGCGCUUGAGAGAACUCGGGUGAAGGAACUAGGCAAAAUGGUGCCGUAACUUCGGGAGAAGGCACGCUGAUAUGUAGGUGAAGUCCCUGCGGACGGAGCUGAAAUCAGUCGAAGAUACCAGCUGGCUGCAACUGUUUAUUAAAAACACAGCACUGUGCAAACACGAAAGUGGACGUAUACGGUGUGACGCCUGCCCGGUGCCGGAAGGUUAAUUGAUGGGGUUAGCGGCAACGCGAAGCUCUUGAUCGAAGCCCCGGUAAACGGCGGCCGUAACUAUAACGGUCCUAAGGUAGCGAAAUUCCUUGUCGGGUAAGUUCCGACCUGCACGAAUGGCGUAAUGAUGGCCAGGCUGUCUCCACCCGAGACUCAGUGAAAUUGAACUCGCUGUGAAGAUGCAGUGUACCCGCGGCAAGACGGAAAGACCCCGUGAACCUUUACUAUAGCUUGACACUGAACACUGGUCCUUGAUGUGUAGGAUAGGUGGGAGGCUUUGAAGCGUGGACGCCAGUCUGCGUGGAGCCAACCUUGAAAUACCACCCUUUAAUGGCUGGUGUUCUAACGUAGACCCGUAAUCCGGGUUGCGGACAGUGUCUGGUGGGUAGUUUGACUGGGGCGGUCUCCUCCCAAAGAGUAACGGAGGAGCACGAAGGUUGGCUAAUCCUGGUCGGACAUCAGGAGGUUAGUGCAAUGGCAUAAGCCAGCUUGACUGCGAGCGUGACGGCGCGAGCAGGUGCGAAAGCAGGUCAUAGUGAUCCGGUGGUUCUGAAUGGAAGGGCCAUCGCUCAACGGAUAAAAGGUACUCCGGGGAUAACAGGCUGAUACCGCCCAAGAGUUCAUAUCGACGGCGGUGUUUGGCACCUCGAUGUCGGCUCAUCACAUCCUGGGGCUGAAGUAGGUCCCAAGGGUAUGGCUGUUCGCCAUUUAAAGUGGUACGCGAGCUGGGUUUAGAACGUCGUGAGACAGUUCGGUCCCUAUCUGCCGUGGGCGCUGGAGAAUUGAGGGGGGCUGCUCCUAGUACGAGAGGACCGGAGUGGACGCAUCACUGGUGUUCGGGUUGUCAUGCCAAUGGCACUGCCCGGUAGCUAAAUGCGGAAGAGAUAAGUGCUGAAAGCAUCUAAGCACGAAACUUGCCCCGAGAUGAGUUCUCCCUGAGACUUUAAGUCUCCUGAAGGAACGUUGAAGACGACGACGUUGAUAGGUCGGGUGUGUAAGCGCAGCGAUGCGUUGAGCUAACCGAUACUAAUGAACCGUGAGGCUUAACCUU